rnacentral:rRNA from 1 species
UACGAAGGGGGCUAGCGUUGCUCGGAAUGACUGGGCGUAAAGGGCGCGUAGGCGGUGCGGAUAGUCAGAUGUGAAAUUCCUGGGCUUAACCUGGGGACUGCAUUUGAUACGUCCGCGCUUGAGUGUGGAAGAGGGUCGUGGAAUUCCCAGUGUAGAGGUGAAAUUCGUAGAUAUUGGGAAGAACACCGGUGGCGAAGGCGGCGACCUGGUCCAUAACUGACGCUGAGGCGCGAAAGCGUGGGGAGCAAACAGG